rnacentral:lncRNA from 1 species
AAAUCUGAGACAGCCUUGGUCUGAGGGAGCAAAGACAGAGAAUUCACGUGCUGCCCAGGCAUAGCCACAUAGCAGGUGGACAUCCCUGGACACUUUUCUGACAAAGCACGCAAUGUGGGGACAACACAGAAAUCCAAGAAAGGCAAGACCAAUUUCAAGGCACUAAAUAAGUGGACUGAGACAAGAAGUACACAGAUACUUCCCAGAACAAAACCCUCAUUGGAUUUUCCUGGAAGUACGGAGAGUUACAUCCAGAGAACUCUGAACAUUUUGGAAGGACCCCAAUCCUGCAAACAAUGAAUGGCAAUAAAUCCUGGGACUGGAAAGGGGCUUCUCAACCCCAAGGCAACCAUAAAGUCCUAUACAAAGAAAGAUACAGCAGUGUGAAAGAGGCCUGGAUGAAAAAACAAAGACAGAGCCAGUGAGCCAGAGCCAGAGCCAGAGGACAAGAGAGAAAGGCAGAGAAUGGAAAACACAGACAGAGAAGGCAGAUGCGUAGAGAGACAGAGAUUCAAUGAGAAAAUAAGGAAGGAAGAAAGAAAGAAAACAAAAACGUUCUCAGCACUACAACUUCUGCCUUGUUCUGUUCCAGAACAGUAUGAGCUCAGUACUUUUUCAGACUCUCAAUUUUCUACAACUAA